GGUUUCGGUGGUGCAGUUGGUAGCGGGCACUCCCGCAAUGGGUGAAACCUGGGUUCAACUCCCAAUUACGAUCGAACUU